rnacentral:pre_miRNA from 13 species
GCGCCGGCGGGCACCUGGGCUGCGACCUGGUUCAAGUAAUCCAGGAUAGGCUGUGUGCGCUCAGAUUGGCCUGUUCUCGGUUACUUGCCCCAGGGGGCGGCCACAGCAACUCGGCCCAGGG